rnacentral:rRNA from 1 species
CCAGAGCCUGAAUCAGUGUGUGUGUUAGUGGAAGCGUCUGGAAAGGCGCGCGAUACAGGGUGACAGCCCCGUACACAAAAAUGCACAUACUGUGAGCUCGAUGAGUAGGGCGGGACACGUGGUAUCCUGUCUGAAUAUGGGGGGACCAUCCUCCAAGGCUAAAUACUCCUGACUGACCGAUAGUGAACCAGUACCGUGAGGGAAAGGCGAAAAGAACCCCGGCGAGGGGAGUGAAAAAGAACCUGAAACCGUGUACGUACAAGCAGUGGGAGCACGCUUAGGCGUGUGACUGCGUACCUUUUGUAUAAUGGGUCAGCGACUUAUAUUCUGUAGCAAGGUUAACCGAAUAGGGGAGCCGAAGGGAAACCGAGUCUUAACUGGGCGUUAAGUUGCAGGGUAUAGACCCGAAACCCGGUGAUCUAGCCAUGGGCAGGUUGAAGGUUGGGUAACACUAACUGGAGGACCGAACCGACUAAUGUUGAAAAAUUAGCGGAUGACUUGUGGCUGGGGGUGAAAGGCCAAUCAAACCGGGAGAUAGCUGGUUCUCCCCGAAAGCUAUUUAGGUAGCGCCUCGUGAAUUCAUCUCCGGGGGUAGAGCACUGUUUCGGCAAGGGGGUCAUCCCGACUUACCAACCCGAUGCAAACUGCGAAUACCGGAGAAUGUUAUCACGGGAGACACACGGCGGGUGCUAACGUCCGUCGUGAAGAGGGAAACAACCCAGACCGCCAGCUAAGGUCCCAAAGUCAUGGUUAAGUGGGAAACGAUGUGGGAAGGCCCAGACAGCCAGGAUGUUGGCUUAGAAGCAGCCAUCAUUUAAAGAAAGCGUAAUAGCUCACUGGUCGAGUCGGCCUGCGCGGAAGAUGUAACGGGGCUAAACCAUGCACCGAAGCUGCGGCAGCGACGCUGAUGCGUUGUUGGGUA